rnacentral:misc_RNA from 1 species
UUUCCGUAGGUGAACCUGCGGAAGGAUCAUUACAGAGUUCAUGCCCGAAAGGGUAGACCUCCCACCCUUGUGUAUUAUUACCUUGUUGCAUUGGCCAGCGGAAACUCCCCAAAGAAUAGCAAAACUCUUUUUAUUAAUGUCGUCUAAGUUCUAUAUAAUAGUUAAAACUUUCAACAACGGAUCUCUUGGUUCUG